UGUCGGUAGGUCUGCUCUAGAACUUUCUCCAGCUGUCGGUAGGUCUACUCUAGAACUUUCUCCAGUUGUCGGUAGGUCUGCUCUAGAACUUUCUCCAGUUGUCGGUAGGUCUGCUCUAGAACUUUCUCCAGCUGUCGGUAGGUCUGCUCUAGAACUUUCUCCAGUUGUCGGUAGGUCUGCUCUAGAACUUUCUCCAGCUGUCGGUAGGUGUGCUCUAGAACUUUCUCCAGCUGUCGGUAGGUCUACUCUAGAACUUUCUCCAGCUGUCGGUAGGUCUGCUCUAGAACUUUCUCCAGUUGUCGGUAGGUCUGCUCUAGAACUUUCUCCAGCUGUCGGUAGGUCUGCUCUAGAACUUUCUCCAGCUGUCGGUAGGUCUGCUCUAGAACUUUCUCCAGCUGUCGGUAGGUCUGCUCUAGAACUUUCUCCAGCUGUCGGUAGGUCUGCUCUAGAACUUUCUCCAGCUGUCGGUAGGUCUGCUCUAGAACUUUCUCCAGCUGUCGGUAGGUCUACUCUAGAACUUUCUCCAGUUGUCAGUAGGUCUACUCUAGAACUUUCUCCAGGGGAUGUUCUCCUUUCCUGCUUCCAGUCUUUAAGUUCAGUCUCACUUAGAACAUUCCAGGUUGUUGAAGUCCACAGAGGUGGGUCCAGAUUUAUCCCUUUUUAAUGGACUUUUUCAGAACUUCAUCAGUCUAGGAGAUAGAACCAUGACAUUUAGGAGGAGAAACAUCUGAGUUCUGGUAAAAACUGACACCAGAUCAGUUUAAAUCCCUCCAGGUGUCUCAGUCUGAACUCUGAACCUGUUCCUGAGCUCUGAACAUCUCCUGUCUGGAGAUAAAACCAGCUGAUUGAUGGUGGUUCUGGUUGGUUCUCAUGGAAUGGCUAAAACUCACAAACACCAGUUUAUCGUCUCACCUGCAUCAGCCUGUUCACCUGCCCCCUCCCCCCACAGCGCCUGCUGUCUGAGGCAGCAGAGGGCGGAGCCUGGGAGAAGGUGCGUCGCCUGGUGGAGCUCUGCCAGCAGGUGGGGGUCAGCCUGAGUCUGGGCGAGACUCCGGGGCACGGAGGCCGAUCCACGGAUCUCUGAUCAAACUAUAACGGACUAGUCAGGCUGCAGGGACGGAGGGAGAGACGAGGUAAGGCAGUCCCUCCUCCCCCACCUCCUGCAGCUCCUCCCCCAGGAUGGAGAGCUCCUCCCCCAGGACUGCUGCUGUCUGUAAGUAUGUCCUGCUGAGUGACGGCUUCACUCUUCAUCCUCUUCUCUUUGGUUCUCCCCUUUCAGUUGGAUCAUUCCCUCCCUGUUAUUCAUCCUAGGGGGGUGUGGGGCAUUGGGGGGCAGGGAGGGUAUCAGGGGGUAUCUGUGAGGUUCUACACCCCUGUUUGUUCUAGAUUUCCCCCUGUAGUGACGCUGCAGCUCCUUUUUUUUCUUUGUGUCUGAGGAAACGCGGACUUUUAUUUGUUUAACCUGAACAGAAGCAAACUGAUCAUUGAUUGGCUGUCGGCGGCCGCCUGCCUGUUUAGUGCACUCUGAUUGGCUGCCACAGAGACUGAUCCCGCCCCUGCAGGACUGAUGUCAGAACAAUUAAAGUGAAUCAGCAGCGGAGCCUCACUGUUUUCUACAUGAAUGUCAUUAAAUUAUUUUCUACAAA